rnacentral:lncRNA from 1 species
CCAGCAGCGAUGUCAUGCUUGCCGUCAGGUCGGGGCAUGGCCCUGCAGGUCCCAACCAACUACCUUGCCUUCGGCUCAAACCCUAGGCGUAGUAUUUCCCUAACCAUCCUCAACUCCUUAUUUUCCCCUCCCUUUCCAUUCCUCGCUGCACGGUGCUCUCUCUGUUCCUCACUCCGUGAAACCAAGGAAGAAGAAGCCAUCUUGGGUCUAUGACACGUGGGCCCUAGUUGCUAACGUAAGUGCACAAAAUCACAGAUUUUUGUGUUAUGUUCUAAAAUUCAUAUCUUGAGUUUUAGAGCUCCUAAAACAGUGAAACUUGUUUUGUUGCCUUCCUUAUGAAAUUCUCUAUCUAUUAGAUCUAUAUGUUGGUAUGUUUUAGUGGAAAAGGUUUUCUGUAUAAAUUUGUCUUUAAAAACUGGUUUACAAAACAAAUAAACUUGCUUCUCUCCACAGUUUUAAUUAUAAAAAUCCAAAAAUGAUGAAGCUUGUUUUGUUAGUUAGAUGUUGUCAUACUCUAGCUAAGAAAAUAUAAAACAUAUAUGUUGUUCACUGUUUUCUUGGUGUUUUAAUUAAAACAUGUUAAAUAGGAAAAAGAUGAUUGAUUUUGCUUGUUAUUUUGGGAACUAUAGCUCUUUUACUCCAAAUAGAUUAAAAGUUUUACAGUAGACUCUUGGUGUGAUGCUUAGUGACUGGUAAAAAUUUCAUGAUUUAUGGUCGAUGUAUCACUGAGUUAGUGAUUUAACUUGCUUGAUGCAUAUUAAGUAGUUUUAAAUGGUUUAUAAAUACUAUAUGGAUGUGAAAAAUGGAAAAUGGUGUUCCACUGUCUUUGCAUGAUGUUUUAGUGACCUAAUAAAACUUAAUAUGGUCAUGCAUUCACAGAAAAUAAAUAGUUUUAGAAUUAACUUGCUCUCACAUGCUUUAUUGCAUUAACAAUUUGUUAUUUUUGUAUUAAAUACCAUAUAAAAUUUGAGCAUGUGAAAUUUAUAUAUUAUUCAUAACUUUUUAUUACCUAUGCCUCAUAAAAAUUCCAGCCCCAAAUUAGAUAGUUUCAUAUGGUGCUAAAAUGACACACAUUUUAUAAUUAUAAGAAGAAUUAGAGACAAAUUAGAAGUAAACAAAAGCGUGCAUGUUUCUUGAAAUGAUUAUGUGUCUUGAUAUAAAUUGAAACUUGAUAACUAAUUCAUAAUGAUUCUCUAUGAGUUUGAUUGGUGAUUUAGUUAAGUGCUCUUGUGCUAGCAAACUGAAAUUCCUGCGUGUACAGUUUUGGUUGUGCGUGUAAUCUAGUUAAGUAAAAUAUGUUUUAUAUAGAAAAAUAAUAUAGAAAAGUUGUACAUAACUUUAUUAUCUUGCUCGUGUUAAAAUUUGACAGCCAUAAGUCUAAUCGUUUAGAAGUUAUGCUUUUCACAAGAUCAGUAACUGAAUCUAUCUAAUUUCUGAACAAAUUUCAGAGAUUGCUAUGGUUGCUUAAGUUAAUAUUGAAAUCAGUUAUUUGUGGUCACAAGAAAAUUUUAGAUAAUUUUAUUACCUUACUUGUGUUAAAAUAUGACAGCCAAAAACCUGAUCGUUUAGAAGUUAUGCUUUUCAUAAGUUUAGUAACUGAAUCUGUCCAAAUUCUGUACAGAUUUCGAAGGUUGCUUUGUUUGCUUAAGUUCAGCUUAGAAUUAGUCCUUGUCAACUAUAAUAAAGUUGUAGAUAAUUUCCUUAUCUUACUUGUGUUAAAUUGUCAUGACAAUAAAUCUGAUAGUUUGAGAGUUAUGGAUUUUACAAAAUGGUUGUUGUGUUCUGUCCACUAUCAGAACAGAUUUCGAAAACUGAAUUGUUUGGUUUAGUUAAACAUAGAAUCACUUCUUGGUGAUUAUAAAAGUUUUUUAGUACUUUUGCUAAAAUUUCCAAAAAAUCUUGGAUCACUCUUUUUGGUGGUCUGAAGAUUAAGUUAUAGGUGUUUAAAGUGUGAAGACUGAACAUGUCCAGUUCUGGACAGCAAAGUCUUCUAGUGUCUUGUACUCUUGAUCCCUAAUUAACUUUCCAGAAAGUCUAAGAUCAAUUGAGUUGGAUGCCUAAGUCUCUAGUUAUGAAUUUUUGAAGUCGCAAGUCUGAAUCUGUCCAAAUCUGAACAAAGUUGUCGUUUAUCACUAUUUAACCUUGUUAAGUAUCUAAUCACCUUGAGAUGAAAAUACCAAAGUUAUAGAGCGUUUAAAUAAGCUUUCCAAAAAAGUACCGGUUCACUAAUUUUGGAUAAAUAUCUUGUGAGUUAUGACUGAAACAACUACUGUGCUGUCGUCCUAAAUAUGUUAAUUGUGGUUGAUUGUCCCACUCCAGUGUGCUUGUCUUGAGUCGACUGCUUGUUGUUUUGGAUUUUGACUAAACAUGAGUAAUAAUGAUAGUGAACUAAAUUGGUUAAAGCCUAAGGAGUAACUUAGCUUAAACACAUUUAGCAAGUGUCGUUAUAUGGACGAGAAACACAAUUAAUGAUACGUUACCAUUUCUAAUAAUUGCGCUGCUAAUCCGAGUAUUGUUAAAUAACCAGCCCCAUUAGACAAGUAUAAGAAGCAGUGUGAUUAGGCUAUCGUUUUCUGUGUGUGCUCUUGGGUGUGUGUUCGCAUUAGGAUAUUGUGAAUAAUGGUAGAACCCGAUUAAGUGAUUAUUCCCUUUUAACUAAGUUUGUCUAUAUAGAAGCCAUGGCAAAUUGAUGUGUACUUAACUAGUAUAAUAAUAAAGGAACUAAUGAACGAUUAAAGUGAACAUGGUAAAUGCUUGUACUCGUGAUGUCGUGUUUGUGUUGGUCAAAUAUAGGAAAUGUGCGUCGUCUUUUCCAUAAUGUUGACUUAUUGUGCCCAAUGACGUAUAAAUAACUAGCGCUUGCGUAUAGUUGUUGCGGUGUCUUACUAUCUAGUGUUUAGUUACUACCGUCUAUUUUGGGAUUAUCUUGUGCUACUUUCAUCAUAUUCAUACAUAUGCAUCCUGCAUCUCAUUUAGGACCGAGAGAUGAUGAUAGUGCAAGUGAUGUGGUGCCAACAACAAGAUGCAGUUGGCGAACGACCCAAGAAGGAUGGACUUAACCAGUGGAUGCUCACCAAGCGAGUGUCAUAUAGCAAACACUAUCUAGUGUUGGAUUCUAGGCAAGACCCGGUUUUAUGCAUAACCAUUUAUAUAUGCUAUUUUACUACACUUAAUGUUUGUAGGCUUGUACCGUGCACUUAAGUGUAGGAAUUGCCUGAAACCCUAGUAGCAUGAACUUAGGAUUCCUUUUGAGAUGGAUACUAAUAAGCUAGGUCGAGUAGUUGCUUUGCUAAUUAGGGAUCUCGGUAGAAGUCGAGUGAUUUUUCUAGCACUCGCACGAGGUCAGGAAUUGGUUGUAUCCAUUUUGAUAACAAAAUGAUGAUGGUAUGUGGACACGGAUCCAUGGGGAUGCGUUGUCUGCGAGACGAAAUUGGAAUAAGGAUUAACGUGUGGAUACCUGUGUCAAGCGUUUGAAUGUACUAAACACAUGUCGGGAAAUAUGGUAACCGGUAAGCCUAGUACCUGAUUGAACCUGCCUAUAGACUUUACCCCUCACUGGACCUGAGACGGAGUCUCCCAUGUCGGAUUAUGGUGGGUACAAGUGCGGCCGUUGCACGGCGGCAGCCGGGGACAAUUGGAGCAUUGUACUCCAAGGCCGUGAGCCCUAUUCUGUUGCUAGGUAAUCGAUGGGGACAGUUGACGUGUGUGGGGACGGAGUGCCCCUACAUGUCGUGUGUUUAGGUUUACCUUGCAAGGUUAAAACUCGAUUCGAAUCGUCUGCUUCUCGCAGCUAAUGAGACUUCUUGAUCCAUUGUACUGCAUUGAGUAAUAAGUGGAAAUGAGAUUACUUACAAAAGAUGUUGGUUGACUAAAUUGCUUGAUACCAUGUAUGGAUAUUUAGGUGCUCAUCUAGUCUAAAUUAUUAUUCUAGAACUUGAAAAGGUAAAACUUGAUUUUAGACUCAGCUAGUGCUUUUGGCAAUCCAAACCCCUCAGCCAAACAGCUUCAUGGUCUAGAGGUAGAGGAGUAGACUCCUCACACCGGGUAAGUCUAGCUGAGUAUUAGUAUACUCAGCCUUGCUUGUGGCAUAAUUUUUGUAGGUACUCCUUGGAUGAUUUGGUU